CCUACGGGAGGCUGCAGUAGGGAAUAUUUCUCAAUGGGGGAAACCCUGAAGCAGCAACGCCGCGUGGAGGAUGAAGGUUUUCGGAUUGUAAAAUCCUUUUGUUAGAGAAGAUAAUGACGUUAUCUAACGCAUAAUCACCGUCUAACUCGGUGCCAUCAGCCGCGGUAAUACUGAGGGUGCACGCGUUACUCGGAUUCACUGGGCGUAAAGCGCGCGUAGGUGGGAUAGCAAGUCCGAUGUGAAAUCCUAUGGCUUAACCAUAGAACUGCAUUUUAAACUGGUAUUCUAGAGUAUGGGAGAGGUAGGUGGAAUUCUUGGUGUAGGGGUAAAAUCCGUAGAGAUCAAGAGGAAUACUCAUUGCGAAGGCGACCUGCUAGAACAUAACUGACGCUGAUGCGCGAAAGCGUGGGGAGCAAACAGGAUUAGAUACCCUAGUAGUC
rnacentral:rRNA from 1 species